GCACUCUUGUUUCUCUUCAGAUCGUAUAAAUCUUUCGCCUUUUACUAAAGAUUUCCGUGGAGAGAAACAACAAGAGUUUAUUGUAAUUUUUUGUGCCCUGCUGUUCAGUAGGGU